UACGUAGGGGGCAAGCGUUGUCCGGAAUCAUUGGCGUAAAGAGCUCGUAGGCGGUUUGUCGCGUCUGCUGUGAAAUCCCGAGGCUCAACCUCGGGCCUGCAGUGGGUACGGGCAGACUGGAGUGCGGUAGGGGAGAAUGGAAUUCCUGGUGUAGCGGUGGAAUGCGCAGAUAUCAGGAGGAACACCGAUGGCGAAGGCAGUUCUCUGGGCCGUAACUGACGCUGAGGAGCGAAAGCGUGGGGAGCGAACAGG
rnacentral:rRNA from 1 species